CCUUCCUUUUCCUUGAAUGCGCAGCCACACAACACAACCCACAUCUCAGACUCUCAUUUUCCUUUGAACAACUACAACCUCCACUGCUUCAAUCAAACACAUUUUGCACAUCUGAGAAACAUGUUCAUCCAUCGUCGGCGUCGCACAUCUCAGAAAACUGAUGCCUGGAUUAAUGAUACUUGGAUAUAAGUGUGGUGUGGUUGCAAUUUGUUGGUGAUUAUGGAUGAAGCUAACUCAGUGCCAACGAUGUAUCGGACAGACCAGCAUACUACAUCAGAAAAAGACUUCAGUCAUGUGCCACAAAAUCUGUUUUAAUAUGUUUCUUGCUUUUAAUUUGUUUUGAUGGAAAUUAGGACCUUUAGAAUGGGGACAUACCACUUUAGAAUGUUUGUU